UGUUUCAAUCGUGACAAUGAUGGCGGUCCUCUAUCAGUGACGUCGCGAGAAGUUCAUUGAACCUUAUCAUUUAGAGGAAGGAGAAGUCAUAACAAGGUUAUCGUAGGUGAACCUGCGGUAGGAUCAUU
rnacentral:rRNA from 1 species